ensembl:lncRNA
CAAUAUUUUCAGACACUUAACUGAAUGUUAUUUACAAUUAAAUAAGAAUGUGUUAUGGUUUAAAUGUAUAUUAAAUGCAAUUAGUUGAACAAUUGCACUUUAUGUACUUUUUAAUGUGUUGUUUAUAUAUUUAAUACACUUUUAAGAUUCAAAGUCCACAACAAAUGCACAUUUAAUACAGUUAUGCGCACUUCUUUUUCACAAGGGUAUAAACAAAAAUGAUGCAGUACAUUAGUACAUUUUUAUUUACUUUUCAAUUGUUUUCAGAUGGUGUACUGUUACAAAGUCAUCACACACACACACACACACACACACACACACACUGGUUUCUCAUAGGAAUAUGCACGCUAUCAUUCUAUAUUUAAUCCUACAGUCUGGAAGCCCUGUUGGAUCAAUGCAAUAUUGACUGUUUUAGUAUUCUGCUCUUUGUGGUUGGUUUGAUGACACCUGGCCAGGAAUGAGUCUUUAGGAUCAUUCUGGAACAUACAGCAGCUACUCAAAGGAUGGUAUGGAUUACCGUUUCCCUAUAACUGACUAUUGUGACUUGGUGCUUCACCUCCACUCACUGUGAUUGGUUCAGCUGUGGUUGCUGUAGUUAUCGGUAUAAUGGCCCUCUUUACCAGACCUGAGAGAAAUAAUGGCACAUUAACAAGCCUCCAUUUAGGGACAUUCAAAAUGCUUUAUGUUCAGAAGUGCAGUUAGUUUUUCUAGCAAUGUUCUACAGUUUACAUUAAAUAUUGGGUAAAAGUUCAAUAUCACAAUAAAAAGACAUCAUAAAGACAACAUAAGUGCUUACAGUACAGUGUAUUUGCGCAAGAAACUUCUUGAACCUAAUAUGAGCUAGGGUUGUUUACAUUUAGGUUCAGGGUUAGUACCUUAUUACUGCAUGCAAGAAUAAGUACAUAACAACAGCAUACAGUGACCAAAGAAUGCUAAAAAUUCCGAAAAGUUUUGCUUGGAACUAAGAAACUAUGGAACAUAGCUCUCAAUUGGUCCAUAACAUCAAACAUCACUCUAAUCCGUCUCGUCAUUGACAUCAAACCUGAAGAGGGAGUGGCAUCCCUCCACAUCCCAGCCUGUCCAUCGACCAGUGUGCACAGGGGUCGCCGUGACGACCAGGCUCCAGUCGCCACGGAGACGGACAGACGACCCCGCCCCAAUUCUCGUGUUACAGAGAGGCACGACCCUGCGCCUGCCAUAAGGUCACGGGCCGCACAGUCCCUCUGGUACCCCGGGAGUGGCCAAAUAUCUUGCACUCUGUCCGCCUGCCAAUCUCCUCUGCUCCACAGAUGGCUCCAUAUUUCAGAUUUAUCACUGAAAAGCAAAGCCCUUCUUUAAAGGUCAGCCUUUUAAAAGCUGUCCGAUCAAUGGGACUAUUCCUGCAGGUGUGGUCAUGUGGAGUAUGUGUGUGAGUAUGUGUGCUUGCCGUGUGUUUAGUACUAGUCAGAUUUUUUAUGGUGGAUAAAUGUUGUUGUCUCGCUGAUGUGUCUUGAGGUGCUGUAUCUUCAUAAUCUGCCUGACCCCUUUGCCCUCCAUCUGACCAUCUCCAUGGCCUCACACUGGACAAGGCUACUAAUAAUAUAAUAAAUAUUUUAGAACGUCAUUAGCUCAUCAAAUUUAUGUAUAUUAUCUCAAAUCCUCCGGGUUUGUUCGGUGAGCUUGGCAAGAGUUAUUUUUCAGAUGAUCAAUAAUGGAAUUGCUUUUAGUUUGGUGCAGCCAUGGGUGACAUCUGUUUGCAAAAACCUAACACACGUCAUGUCGCUGACACAAAACCGCUUGAAUUUCACUAGCUACAGUCAUCAUUAAAGGAAUAGUUCACUCAAAAUUGAACAUUCUAUCAACAUUUACUCUCCCUCAUGUCGAUCCAAAAGGAACACAACAUAAGGAUUUUGAAUAAAUGUGAUGGUUGCUCUUUUUUAUUCAGUUGCAAUGAAUGAAGAUUGCAUCUUUCAAGCUUCAAAAAGCUCACACAGCACCAUAAAAGUAACAUAAAUGUUGGCUAUAUGACUUCUGAAGUUAAUGCAGCACUGAACAAGAAAUAGAGAGAAAUUUAAGUCAGUCUUUACCGAAAAUUGUAAAAAUCACCUUGGCCCAUGGGCGCUG